AUUUAUCAAGUUUUGGCCAAGAUUGAGGGUAUUGCUUAAUAAAGUACUAAAGAAAAAAAAAGCACUAACAAGCACAUAGAUUUAAAACACAAAUUCAAACACAAUUGUGUUUGGGAUCGUCCAAUGCAUACAUAUAUUCGGACGGUUCCGGAUAAAGUUGUGUCAGGAUUAAUGUUUUAAGUUUGUGUUCCUAGACUUUAAAAAAAAAAAAAAUGAGACAACAAGUCAUUGCAUGACACUUAAGCUUUGACACUUUUAUUAGAGUUGUUUCACAUGCCAAUUUUUUCACUUGGUAUGUCACGUCAAAUUUGAUAUCUUUCGUUGGAGAUGCUCGCAACCAAGCAUUGAAGUCUUGUAAUAGUGGUUGUAUUUUGAAGAUAGAGUAUUUGGAUCGAUGGAGUUUGUAAAUAGUAAACAUUCUAAAAGUACUUUGUGAAUCGAAUACUAUGCAUGGUUCAUUGGUUAUAGCCCCACAAAUAGAGAUUAGAGGGUAUUGGGUCGGGGAUUCUCUAAGGCGUAAGACCAAAUUGUUCAUUUUAACCUAAUUUAUUCAAAAAGUGCAUCUAAAAUUCUAGAGUAUGUAGCUAUUUACACACAUUCUAAUGACAUUUUACCUAAUUUGAUUUGGCU